rnacentral:rRNA from 1 species
GAUGAACGCUGGCGGCGUGCCUAAUACAUGCAAGUCGAGCGAACAGACGAGGAGCUUGCUCCUCUGGCGUUAGCGGCGGACGGGUGAGUAACACGUGGAUAACCUACCUAUAAGACUGGGAUAACUUCGGGAAACCGGAGCUAAUACCGGAUAACAUGUUGAACCGCAUGGUUCAACAGUGAAAGACGGUCUUGCUGUCACUUAUAGAUGGAUCCGCGCCGCAUUAGCUAGUUGGUAAGGUAACGGCUUACCAAGGCAACGAUGCGUAGCCGACCUAAGAGGGUGAUCGGCCACACUGGAACUGAGACACGGUCCAGACUCCUACGGGAGGCAGCAGUAGGGAAUCUUCCGCAAUGGGCGAAAGCCUGACGGAGCAACGCCGCGUGAGUGAAGAAGGUCUUCGGAUCGUAAAACUCUGUUAUUAGGGAAGAACAAAUGUGUAAGUAACUAUGCACGUCUUGACGGUACCUAAUCAGAAAGCCACGGCUAACUACGUGCCAGCCGCCGCAGUAC